rnacentral:rRNA from 1 species
UGGGGAAUAUUGCACAAUGGGCGCAAGCCUGAUGCAGCCAUGCCGCGAGUAUGAAGAAGGCCUUCGGGUUGUAAAGUACUUUCAGUCGGGAGGAAGGUGUCAAGGUUAAUAACCUUGGCAAUUGACGUUACCGACAGAAGAAGCACCGGCUAACUCCGUGCCAGCAGCCGCGGUAAUACGGAGGGUGCAAGCGUUAAUCGGAAUUACUGGGCGUAAAGCGCACGCAGGCGGUUGAUUGAGUCAGAUGUGAAAUCCCCGGGCUUAACCCGGGAAUUGCAUCUGAUACUGGUCAGCUAGAGUCUUGGAGAGGGGGGUAGAAUUCCAUGUGUAGCGGUGAAAUGCGUAGAGAUGUGGAGGAAUACCGGUGGCGAAGGCGGCCCCCUGGACAAAGACUGACGCUCAGGUGCGAAAGCGUGGGGAGCAAACAGG